rnacentral:rRNA from 1 species
GACGAACGCUGGCGGCGUGCUUAACACAUGCAAGUCGAACGCUGAAGCUCAGCUUUUGUUGGGUGGAUGAGUGGCGAACGGGUGAGUAACACGUGAGUAACCUGCCCCCUUCUUUGGGAUAACGCCCGGAAACGGGUGCUAAUACUGGAUAUUCACUGGUCUUCGCAUGGGGGUUGGUGGAAAGGGUUUUUCUGGUGGGGGAUGGGCUCGCGGCCUAUCAGCUUGUUGGUGGGGUGAUGGCCUACCAAGGCUUUGACGGGUAGCCGGCCUGAGAGGGUGACCGGUCACAUUGGGACGGAGAUACGGCCCAGACUCGGACGGGAGGCAGCAGUGGGGAAUAUUGCACAAUGGGCGCAAGCCUGAUGCAGCGACGCCGCGGGAGGGAUGGAGGCCUUCGGGUUGUGAACCUCUUUCGCUCAUGGUCAAGCCGCAACAAUGGUUGUGGUGAGGGUAGUGGGUAAAGAAGCGCCGGCUAACUACGUG